UACAGAGUAGCAGAUAUAAUUUAUCUUAUUGAUACAGAAAAUAACUUUUCUAGGACAGGAAGUUGUCGCUGCUCAAAAUCCUGGAAGCCACUAACAAUAGCAAUUCAUAUCAAUCUAUCAUUACUAACAAUGUCCAGCAAAUGGGUCUAGCUCGAACUGAACAUUGUUCAGACGCAUGGCCUCUAUAUGUGUUGCAGAGAGAAAUAGGUUUGUGGAUGCACAUACCUGAUUAAAUCGAGGUGAAUCAAUCCACUUCUAAGUUAUUCUCUAUUUCCCUAUUCCACUUGCAAUUUGUGUAAAAUUUUCUGUGCAUAUAGUCUGUGUUCUUUUUUUCUUCCAUCACUUGCUCACAUAUCAUUUCAUUCAAAGAAUAAAUCUGCAAGAAGUGUCAUCCCUCACAGUUUCAGUGUUCAUCCUCGGGUGUAGAAGUUAUCCUUCAUCGAGCCAAGACAACAUCAUUAUAUAUUGUCUUUGAUUUCGGGCUUAUAGGUUCUGUCUUAUCCCAAAAUAUCAUGGAUAUUGCCGUUUAAAAGUCUUUUGGCUUAGAUGUAGUCUGGCCCCAAACAUUAGUGUCCUUUUAAAUUCUUUUUUGAGCUUUAAUGUUCGUUCAAAUAGUCAGUAUGUCCAUGUAGGAAUGCACAUUAUUCCAUUAUUUGUAGCUUGAUAUAGGAACUCUGUACAUUCCAAGGCUUAUAAAAGAUUUGUUCACCUUAAGUCAAUCUAGGCACAAUCAAUUUAUAAGGAGAUUCACUAGCUCUAUAAGCUAAUUGUCUGAGCUAGGGUUCUCUCGGCUUGACAAAAGAAUUGAAUGCAUGAACGGAUGGCAUAAUGGUUUUUCCCUUCCCAAUUACUGUCUACCUAUUGAUUUAUAAGAAUUACAUACAAUGGAACAAAAUAAUUCAGUACUAACUGUGAGUUUUCUAGCAUUGGCGUCUUGCUGUUAAACAGAGCAGAAGCAAAAUUUGUAUUGCUAAGGAAUAGUAUGAUUGGUAUUAAAGGUGAACCUUAUCUUCAUCUCAUCCUGCAAAUUUAAGGUGAAUUUCCCUGCUUCCUGUUUUGUCAACAUUUGUAGGAUAUUAUAUGUUUGUUUGGGCUAACUACGAUAUCAACAUACUGUUUAUUUAUUGCUUUUCAUCUUCGCAUAUUCAGCAUGAUUGUAGUAGUAUGCGGUUCGAACCAUCGUCUCUGAAACUGUUAGCCCCUGGUAGUGUUUCAAAGGUAUACUUUGCAUGAAUUGGAAGGGUUUCCUACUUCCAGUAGGUUUAAGGAAAUUCUCAUCGUAACAAUGUCAGCUUUGCAUGAGGUAGCUGUUUAUUUCGGAAAGAGUAUGUGCCUUUCUGUUUGAAUUAGAUCGAUUUCUUACUUAUCCGCCUUUUUUGACAAAAAGAGUUCUGCGUUGUUUGCUUUUCUAGGCAAUAUCCAAAUGCACCCGGAUUGUUCUUCGUUCGCCUCUGAUCCUUUUGUUAGUUCUUCGGAUAGUUUGAGGAAGGACUAUAUUGUUCUUCGUUUGCUUUUUUUUAUAGACAGGUCACUGGCCACUUGACGUUCCUCGGUGAGAGUGGUGAGGCUCUCAUAGGCAGAGAGGCAGACCUUCUUGCUCCACUUACUAAAGGCCGUCAUAAUUAUGUCCCUGCUGCCAUUACUGCUAUGGUUGGCAAGCAAUGCACCGUGAUCGCCAAGGUAGACCAGGAGACCUAUGCUGCUGAUCGUGGGAUAGUGUUUCUUACUGUCUCGAAGGCCCAGCUAAUCACUGAUUCAGUGACAGCACUAGGCUCUUCUACCCACACUAGCCUUGCAAUAGCCGAUAAGGCAAUUGUGCCACCCGAUUACCCUAAAAGCACACAGAGCCACCUCCCAGAAGGCUGCGGCUCACUGCUCAUAGACAACACCUCCAAAGGAUAUAAUUGAACCAACUGAUGCUGACGAGGAAGAGGACAUGGGAAAGGCAACCAAAGACAAGAAAAGGAAGAACACCAACGAAAAAGGACCUACAAGGCAUUAUUCAAAUGGAAGCAGGAACAUUAGCCUUCUCAAAAUGCCAUCAAAGGACGAGGCUAGGACAAGUGCAUUGUCAAGGAAAUCAAGCAAGUAAAUCAACCACCUUGCUGCAUAUGAAGCUUCUCAUCAAUCUACGAGCUUACGCUAUUAGUUAUACUAAUCUUAUCUAAUACCAUCCUAGGUGAAUAUCUCCACAGUCUCCUAAGAUUGCAUAUGUAAACCUCAAUGUGUCAGUGUUUGCUGUUAAGAGCACCAGUAUGAUUAUCUAUGUAUAAUUAUCCAGUGUGUAAACCUUUAUCCACUACUAUGUACCUUAAGACUUGAUGAAACACCAGCUUUCUAGCUAUAC